rnacentral:rRNA from 2 species
GAUUCGUCACACUAUCAUUAACUGAAUCCAUAGGUUAAUGAGGCGAACCGGGGGAACUGAAACAUCUAAGUACCCCGAGGAAAAGAAAUCAACCGAGAUUCCCCCAGUAGCGGCGAGCGAACGGGGAGGAGCCCAGAGCCUGAAUCAGCAUGUGUGUUAGUGGAAGCGUCUGGAAAGGCGCGCGAUACAGGGUGACAGCCCCGUACACAAAAGCGCAUGUGCUGUGAGCUCGAUGAGUAGGGCGGGACACGUGGUAUCCUGUCUGAAUAUGGGGGGACCAUCCUCCAAGGCUAAAUACUCCUGACUGACCGAUAGUGAACCAGUACCGUGAGGGAAAGGCGAAAAGAACCCCGGCGAGGGGAGUGAAAAAGAACCUGAAACCGUGUACGUACAAGCAGUGGGAGCACCCUUCGGGGUGUGACUGCGUACCUU